rnacentral:sRNA from 1 species
AUAUAUUUAAUUCAUAUAUUUUAUGUUAUUUUUUUAUUAUAAAAACUUGUUACAUUUUUUUUUGAUACAUUUGUGUAAUUUAUUUUGUGUUUUAUUUGUUAUGCUUGUUUUAUGUUUUUAUUUUUUUCAUGUGUUUGUUUAUAAAAUAUCCAUUUCAUUGCUUAUGUUGUUUCAUGUUUUUUUUAUUUUUAUGUAGUGGCAAAUUUACCUAUAUUUCCAUAACAGAUUGUAUCUUUAAAAAGUUAUAUCUGUACAUGUGUUUUUCGUCUCUUUGUUUCUAUAUUCAUCAUUACAAAUAUUUUAAUUAGUUUUUUUUUAUUCUUUUUGUUUAUGUAUUUGGGUGUAAUUCUAUUUUUCUGUUCUAUUUUUUUUUGUUGUCUCCCUAUUAACAAGUAUUCUUAAUAAAAUACCUUUUAAUUGGGGGUGAAAAAAAAAGAAAAAAGAAAAAAUGAAUAUAUAAACCCAAACUGGCAUGGGAAGAGAUUCUCACCCUGAACCCUCCUAGUAGCUGAUUUUUUUCUCAUAAGUAGUUAAACUUUAAUUGUGAUUAUAAAAAAAUUAAAGAAAAGAAAACGAUAGCAUAUGGUUUGAUUCUUUAUUUUUUUUGUGUGUAGCAAUUAAAAACGAACAUGGGGUCGCAUACUGGUUUAGAGCGGAAGGACUCAUAAUAACGCGCUGUUAUUUAAAGCUCAUAAACUUUUUGUAUUUUUGAAAUAAAAUUAAAGUAAAAUAAAAUGGAUAUCAUUUUAUAUUUGUCUUUUUUUAUUCAAAAUAAACAAAAAGAACCAUAUGCUUCAAUCAGUAUACUCAAAUGAUGCGCUAUUUUAUCUCUCAAGUCAACCAGGAGAUAAACCUAUUUUUUUUUAUUAUAUCGUUAUAAGGAUGAAAAAUAUGUAUUUAUAGUUUCUUUUUAUAUAUGUAAAAGUUUAUGAAAAGAAUGCUAUACAUAUAUAUUUUUCAUUAUUAUGGCGUAAAAAAUUAAUAUAAAUUAAAUAAUAAUAUAUAAUAAAAAAAAAACGUGGCGAAUUAAUACAGCAUGCAUACAUUGUUGUAUUUUUUCAAAGCAAGAAGGAAUAAUGUGUAAAAUUCAUUUUUUACUUAAUUACUCCUUAAUCGAUGGUUGGUAUCUAUCGGCAUUUUUUUUCUCUCUUUUAUAGCUAUGAAAAUUAUGUACAAUCAUAACUUUCUACUAAAAAAGAAGUAAAAAAAAUGUUUUAGUUUCAUGAAGCAGUUAGCUCUGCGUGUAUACAAUAAUAGGUUGUUACAUUACAAUCAUGAAUUCGAUAGAGUAACAAAGGCUUGGUAGCAUUCCAACUAUUUGGAGUGUUACGUAAAUUCGAACUGCCUCUAUAACGAUUACAAAAACAAAAUAC